GUCGAACAGCAGCACGGGAGCUUGCUCCUGGUGGCGAGUGGCGAACGGGUGAGUAAUACAUCGGAACGCGUCCUGUAAUGGGGGAUAACCUAGCGAGAGUUAGGCUAAUACCGCAUACGUCCUACGGGAGAAAGCGGGGGAUCGCAAGACCUCGCGUUAUAGGAGUGGCCGAUGUCGGAUUAGCUAGUUGGUGGGGUAAAGGCCUACCAAGGCGACGAUCCGUAGCUGGUCUGAGAGGACGACCAGCCACACUGGAACUGAGACACGGUCCAGACUCCUACGGGAGGCAGCAGUGGGGAAUUUUGGACAAUGGGGGCAACCCUGAUCCAGCCAUUCCGCGUGAGUGAAGAAGGCCUUCGGGUUGUAAAGCUCUUUCGGCUGGGAAGAAAUCGCAUGGAUUAAUACUCUGUGCGGAUGACGGUACCGGAAGAAGAAGCACCGGCUAACUACGUGCCAGCAGCCGCGGUAAUACGUAGGGUGCGAGCGUUAAUCGGAAUUACUGGGCGUAAAGCGUGCGCAGGCGGUUAUGUAAGACAGAUGUGAAAUCCCCGGGCUUAACCUGGGAACUGCGUUUGUGACUGCAUAACUAGAGUGCGGCAGAGGGGGGUGGAAUUCCACGUGUAGCAGUGAAAUGCGUAGAUAUGUGGAGGAACAUCGAUGGCGAA
rnacentral:rRNA from 1 species